ACGAACGCUGGCGGCGUGCCUAACACAUGCAAGUCGAGCGGAGACAGUGAGUAGCUUGCUAUGAGCUGUUUUAGCGGCGGACGGGUGAGUAACGCGUGAGCAACCUUUCCCAGACAGGGGAAUAACACACCGAAAGGUGUACUAAUACCGCAUAAGACCACGGGAUCACAUGGUUCUGAGGUAAAAGAUUUAUCGGUUUGGGGUGGGCUCGCGUCCGAUUAGGUAGUUGGUGAGGUAACGGCCCACCAAGCCGACGAUCGGUAGCCGACCUGAGAGGGUGAUCGGCCACAUUGGGACUGAGACACGGCCCAAACUCCUAUGGGAGGCAGCAGUGGGGAAUAUUGGGCAAUGGGGGGAACCCUGACCCAGCAACGCCGCGUGGAGGAAGAAGGUUUUCGGAUCGUAAACUCCUGUCCUUGGAGACGAGUAGAAGACGGUAUCCAAGGAGGAAGCCCCGGCUAACUACGUGCCAGCAGCCGCGGUAAUACGUAGGGGGCAAGCGUUGUCCGGAAUAAUUGGGCGUAAAGGGCGCGUAGGCGGCUCGGUAAGUCUGGAGUGAAAGUCCUGCUUUUAAGGUGGGAAUUGCUUUGGAUACUGUCGGGCUUGAGUGCAGGAGAGGUUAGUGGAAUUCCCAGUGUAGCGGUGAAAUGCGUAGAGAUUGGGAGGAACACCAGUGGCGAAGGCGACUAACUGGACUGUAACUGACGCUGAGGCGCGAAAGUGUGGGGAGCAAACAGGAUUAGAUACCCUGGUAGUCCACGCCGUAAACGAUGUCGACUAGCCGUUGGGAUCCUUGAGAUCUUAGUGGCGCAGCUAACGCGAUAAGUCGACCGCCUGGGGAGUACGGCCGCAAGGUUGAAACUCAAAGGAAUUGACGGGGGCCCGCACAAGCAGCGGAGCAUGUGGUUUAAUUCGACGCAACGCGAAGAACCUUACCAGGUCUUGACAUCCACUUAAACUUACAGAGAUGUAAGGUGUGCUUGCACAAAGUGAGACAGGUGGUGCAUGGUUGUCGUCAGCUCGUGUCGUGAGAUGUUGGGUUAAGUCCCGCAACGAGCGCAACCCUUAUCUUCAGUUACUAACGCGUGAAGGUGAGGACUCUGAAGAGACUGCCGGGGACAACUCGGAGGAAGGUGGGGACGACGUCAAAUCAUCAUGCCCCUUAUGACCUGGGCUACACACGUGCUACAAUGGCCACGACAGAGAGAAGCGAAAUCGUAAGGUAGAGCGGAACUCAAAAAAGUGGUCCCAGUUCGGAUUGUGGGCUGCAACCCGCCCACAUGAAGUCGGAGUUGCUAGUAAUCGCGGAUCAGCACGCCGCGGUGAAUACGUUCCCGGGCCUUGUACACACCGCCCGUCACACCACGAGAGUUUGUAACACCCGAAGUCGGUGAGGUAACCUUUUUGGAGCCAGCCGCCUAAGGUGGGAUAGAUGAUUGGGGUG
rnacentral:rRNA from 1 species